rnacentral:tRNA from 1 species
GCCGGGGUGGCGGAAUAGGUAGACGCGCUGGAUUCAGGAUCCAGUGGAGAUACCUCCGUGCGGGUUCAAGUCCCGCCCCCGGCA